rnacentral:rRNA from 1 species
UACGUAGGGAGCAAGCGUUGUCCGGAAUUACUGGGUGUAAAGGGAGCGUAGGCGGGGAUGCAAGUUGAAUGUUUAAACUAUCGGCUCAACCGGUAGUCGCGUUCAAAACUGCAUUUCUUGAGUGAAGUAGAGGUAGGCGGAAUUCCUAGUGUAGCGGUGAAAUGCGUAGAUAUUAGGAGGAACACCAGUGGCGAAGGCGGCCUACUGGGCUUUAACUGACGCUGAGGCUCGAAAGCGUGGGUAGCAAACAGG